rnacentral:rRNA from 1 species
GUCUAUGGCCAUGCCACCCUGAACAAGCCUGAUGUCUGAUCUUGGAAGCUAAGAAGGGUCAGGCCUGGUUAGUACUUGGAUGGGAGACCACCUGGGAAGACCAGGUGCUGUAGGCA